ensembl:snoRNA SNORD58 Small nucleolar RNA SNORD58
CAGCUGCGAUGACUUCUUAGGACACCUUUGGAUUACUCAUGAAAAUAACUCAUGAAAGAUCUGAGCUAC